rnacentral:rRNA from 1 species
GAAUUCACUAGUGAUUCAGGCCUAACACAUGCAAGUCGAGCGGUAGAGAGAAGCUUGCUUCUCUUGAGAGCGGCGGACGGGUGAGUAAUGCCUAGGAAUCUGCCUGGUAGUGGGGGAUAACGUUCGGAAACGGACGCUAAUACCGCAUACGUCCUACGGGAGAAAGCAGGGGACCUUCGGGCCUUGCGCUAUCAGAUGAGCCUAGGUCGGAUUAGCUAGUUGGUGAGGUAAUGGCUCACCAAGGCUACGAUCCGUAACUGGUCUGAGAGGAUGAUCAGUCACACUGGAACUGAGACACGGUCCAGACUCCUACGGGAGGCAGCAGUGGGGAAUAUUGGACAAUGGGCGAAAGCCUGAUCCAGCCAGGCCGCGUGUGUGAAGAAGGUCUUCGGAUUGUAAAGCAAUGUGAAGUUGGGAGGAAGGGCAUUAACCUAAUACGUUAGUGUUUGACGUACCGACAGAAUA